GACAGGGUUGCCAUACAAAUAAUGCAUUCACACUGAAGACUACACUAAUUGGGAUGAAAUACAUCUAGACAUGGCUGUAGUUCAAUCAGUACCUUGGUUGUGGAAGGAGAGGUGUCGAAUGGGAGGGAAAAGAGACCGUCCGAUGUUCACGGGAUCUGCGUUUGCCUGAAACACUGAGCGAGAUGACCUGUGGCCUGUCUGCAGUUUCCUGGUGUUACUAUGGAGUUAUCGGUGAUGGUCUUGACAGGGUUGCUGUUGCUCACAAGAAUCUGAAAGGCGGUGGCCAGGACCAUGCUACGAAGAACUGGCAAGAAAAGAUUGAGGAGGUGCGCGUGCUGGCGACCAGCUUCACCUCCUCGUACAUGCAGAGGAGCUGCUCGUCUUCGGGGGCCACGUACACAGGCAUGAUGGUCUCUUUGCGUAAGGCUCUGCUCUCACUCACCAUGAACGUCUGGAGGGGAAGGCAGGUCACAGUUUUCGAAAACAGUGCUCGCUUGUAAAGUUGAAAUAGACUACAAGAUUCAUCAAUGUCCUUUUUCCUGUCGCCAGGGCUUUUUUGAACGACAAAAGAGAGAUACGGUUGAAUUGAAAACAUCUUCUUUCAGGGGGCACAGCGGAGAUGUUCUGAGGCAGCAGGAUGAGCACCGCGGCGGCUUUCUGCCUCUGCGCCUCGACGUACUGCUCCGUGGUGA